AGCGAACGCUGGCGGCAGGCCUAACACAUGCAAGUCGAACGAUCCUUCGGGAUAGUGGCGGACGGGUGAGUAACACGUGGGAACGUGCCCUUUGGUUCGGAACAACUCAGGGAAACUUGAGCUAAUACCGAAUGUGCCCUUCGGGGGAAAGAUUUAUCGCCAUUGGAGCGGCCCGCGUCUGAUUAGCUAGUUGGUGAGGUAAUGGCUCACCGAGGCGACGAUCAGUAGCUGGUCUGAGAGGAUGAUCAGCCACACUGGGACUGAGACACGGCCCAGACUCCUACGGGAGGCAGCAGUGGGGAAUCUUGCGCAAUGGGCGAAAGCCUGACGCAGCCAUGCCGCGUGAAUGAUGAAGGUCUUAGGAUUGUAAAAUUCUUUCACCGGGGACGAUAAUGACGGUACCCGGAGAAGAAGCUCCGGCUAACUUCGUGCCAGCCGCCGCGGUAAAAC
rnacentral:rRNA from 1 species